AGAGUUGAUCAUGGCUCAGGACGAACGCUGGCGGCGUGCUUAACACAUGCAAGUUGAACGGGACGGAUAUUGAAGCGACUUUCGGAGUGGUGGAUAUAUUGUUAGUAGCGGACGGGUGAGUAAUGCAUGAGAACCUGCCCUUCAGAGGGGGACAACAGUUGGAAACGGCUGCUAAUACCCCAUAUGCCGAGAGGUGAAAGGAGCGAUCCGCUGAAGGAGAGGCUCAUGUCCUAUCAGCUAGUUGGUGAGGUAAGUGCUCACCAAGGCGAUGACGGGUAGCCGGCCUGAGAGGGCGACCGGCCACACUGGAACUGAGAUACGGUCCAGACUCCUACGGGAGGCAGCAGUGGGGAAUAUUGGGCAAUGGGCGGAAAGCCUGACCCAGCGACGCCGCGUGAGGGAAGAAGGCCUUUGGGUCGUAAACCUCUGUUGUAUGGGAAGAAGGAAGUGACGGUACCAUACGAGGAAGUCCCGGCUAACUACGUGCCAGCCGCCGC
rnacentral:rRNA from 1 species